rnacentral:lncRNA from 1 species
AGAGAUGUGAAAACUGGAAGAGAAACAGGAAGUACCUCCAGGAUUCACCUAAAUAGAUGCUGCGGUUUCUAUCAAACCACAGGCCACCCCAGCAUCUCAGUGGCUUCUAUAGGUUGUCCUGAAAGAGCCAUGAGGCCAGGGCCCUUGAUGGAUUCCCAGAUACCAGCUGCUCCUCCAGACACCAAUUCCACCCUCCACCUUUCUGUGUCCGUCCCAGACCAAGGCAGCCCAGGACUGGUAUCCUUCUAAGAAGAGGAAGGCACAUCAGAGGAGAGGCCAUGUGAGGACACCAUGGGAAGGCGGCCACCUGCAAGCCAAGGAGAGGGGCCUCAGGAGAAACCAGCCCUGCUGACACCCUGAGCUCCUUGCAAUUCCAGCCUCCUAGACUGUGAGAAAAUACACUUGUGUUAUUUA